rnacentral:misc_RNA from 1 species
GCCGGCCGACACUGCGG